AUACGGAGGGUGCAAGCGUUAUCCGGAUUUACUGGGUUUAAAGGGUACGCAGGCGGUAAUUUAAGUCAGUGGUGAAAGCCUACAGCUCAACUGUAGAACUGCCAUUGAAACUGAAUUACUUGAGUAUGGUAGAGGUAGGCGGAAUACAACAUGUAGCGGUGAAAUGCAUAGAUAUGUUGUAGAACACCGAUUGCGAAGGCAGCUUACUAAACCAUUCCUGACGCUCAUGUACGAAAGCGUGGGGAGCGAACAGGAUUAGAAACCCCAGUAGUCC
rnacentral:rRNA from 1 species